rnacentral:rRNA from 1 species
GAUCAUGGCUCAGGAUGAACGCUGGCGGCGUGCUUAACACAUGCAAGUCGAACGGGAAUUACUUUAUUGAAACUUCGGUCGAUUUAAUUUAAUUCUAGUGGCGGACGGGUGAGUAACGCGUGGGUAACCUGCCUUAUACAGGGGGAUAACAGUCAGAAAUGACUGCUAAUACCGCGUAAGCGCACAGGACCGCAUGGUCUGGUGUGAAAAACUCCGGUGGUAUAAGAUGGACCCGCGUUGGAUUAGCUGGUUGGUGGGG